rnacentral:rRNA from 1 species
GAUGAACGCUAGCUACAGGCUUAACACAUGCAAGUCGAGGGGAAACGACAUUGGAAGCUUGCUUCCGAUGGGCGUCGACCGGCGCACGGGUGAGUAACGCGUAUCCAACCUGCCCACCACUUGGAGAUAACCUUGCGAAAGUAAGACUAAUACCCAAUGACGUCUCUAGAAGACAUCUGAAAGAGAUUAAAGAUUUAUCGGUGAUGGAUGGGGAUGCGUCUGAUUAGCUUGUUGGCGGGGUAACGGCCCACCAAGGCGACGAUCAGUAGGGGUUCUGAGAGGAAGGUCCCCCACAUUGGAACUGAGACACGGUCCAAACUCCUACGGGAGGCAGCAGUGAGGAAUAUUGGUCAAUGGGGCGAGAGCCUGAACCAGCCAAGUAGCGUGCAGGAUGACGGCCCUAUGGGUUGUAAACUGCUUUUAUAAGGGAAUAAAGUGAGCCUCGUGAGGCUUUUUGCAUGUACCUUAUGAAUAAGGACCGGCUAAUUCCGUGCCAGCAGCC